CUCCGCGCUCAGCCGACGCUUCUUCGCCCCGCACUCUACGCCACCGCCGUAUAACUCCUCCAUACUGUCUUCCUCCUCCUGCCCGUCUAUGGACGACCGGAACAUGCUCCUCUUUUCUCCUACACCAAGCACUUCAAGGAACACAUUCCUUCAUCGUGGUAAAUUAUGAUUCCAAGAUUCUACUUUGACGUUAAAAGAGCAGUGUGCAGAAAAGGAGCAACUCAUGCAUGAAGCAUUCAUUCAAUGGAGGCUUUGAUUAUAAUAAACCGUGUUGCCCCACCAUAUCAGUGGUUUAUGGUGGCAGGAUCCCAUGCUCGCCCAUUGUGAGCCCAUGCCUUUAUCGAGGAACCAAAUCGCGUUCAGGCUGAUCGUGCAUUUUUGAGUUUUUUAAUGCCUUCAAACUUAUACCUGCAUCGGUCACCCAAACCGGUGAACAUCAAGGUUUUGAUGGUCUUACUACUUCCACGUAAGUUUUUAUUAGUCUUCUACAUUUGUUGGAAUAAUGGACUACUGUACUUGGCGACUAACGUCUAGUUCUUCGUGGAUGAUGAUCUGUUGUUGUUCGGGCCAAGCCACCAGCUUUUUGCUGAAGCAGCCUUUAAUCUUAUAGUUUCCACCUUACACCUGUGCAUCUACAAUGGCAAAGUCUAGUCAUAGUGGAAUGAACUCUUUAACAUCAUCCAAAGGCUUUGAUUCCCAUUAUCAUCCAAAGGUGAUUGAUUGAUUGGGAAAGCGAUUCCCUUGUGGUAGAGCCUACGGCAGUACCUCACCUAAUGGAUUCCUGCACAUAAGGAAGAGCCACAGGAAGCAGAUAAACAAUGAAGGAAAGGAAACGAAGUGAGGAGGUGUGCUAUUAGUUUUGGAUGGCGUAUUCAGUCAUGACCAGGAAAGUCCACAGGGAUGUUGAUAUUUGGACUUUAUCUUGGGUGCUGGAACUUUAAAAGAGCUAUGAAAUUGCAGGGCCUGUCACAACUUUCAGGGUUGUGCUUGAUACAGUAGAACUUUUCAUUA